rnacentral:rRNA from 1 species
AACGCGCAAAACCUUACCAGGGUUUGACAUGGUGUUAAUUCUUUGAAAAAAGAAGUACCGUUCGCGGUAGACACACACAGGUGUUGCAUGGCUGUCG